rnacentral:rRNA from 1 species
UGGGCCCUACGGGGGGCAGCAGUGGGGAAUAUUGCACAAUGGGGGAAACCCUGAUGCAGCGACGCCGCGUGAGUGAAGAAGUAUCUCGGUAUGUAAAGCUCUAUCAGCAGGAAAGAUAAUGACGGUACCUGACUAAGAAGCCCCGGCUAACCACGUGCCAGCAGCCGCGGUAAUACGUAGGGGGCAAGCGUUAUCCGGAUCUACUGGGUGUAAAGGGUGCGUAGGUGGCAGGGCAAGUCAGAUGUGAAAGCCCGGGGCUCAACCCCGGUACUGCAUUUGAAACUGUCCAGCUGGAGGGCAGGAGG